ACUCAAUAUGGAUGGCAAGGAGACAUCAUUUACCAAACUCAUGACUGAUUAAGGCUUUUCAUGUAGGCAGUUCCUGUGUUUUGCAUCUCACAGAAAGUUCGACCCAUUAGUGGUGUUUACAUGUUAAGCAGAUCAGAGAAAAGCAGCAGAGAUUUGUAAAAGGCAGGGGCCUCUUUAGCAUCUGGAAAUUAACCUUCCUUUAGCACACACUUUGCUACCGAUCCCAUGAAAUUGCGCAGCCAGUCCUUCACCCUGAACCCACCAGAACAGGAAAUAAUUAAAAGGAAGGCAAACUUUCUGGCAACAAAAGCACCAAAAGCCUUGAAAAAGUGAUUCUUGAUAAUCCAGGCUUGGAGCUGCUGUUCUGAUGGCUGGCUGAACCAAGACAGUGUUCCUGCGCAUCCUUCCUGAUUAAAGAAGAGUGAGUGCUUGGUAACUGCCCAGAUCACCUUUGAUCUCUUUUGAGAACAGCCUCUCUGGAGGGUCUCGGCAGCACUGACUAAAAACUUGGUGUCAGCCCAUGGCAGAGACGUUGCCUUGCCCUGU